ACGAGAACUGCUGCACUUUUUGGGGUAUACAUUUUGAGUCUUUCACUUCUCUAUGUUUCACCCAAUAUCAGAAAUAAGAUCAGCUUCGAAAUAAUUGAGCCGUUUCAUUUAAUAUCUCACAUUACUAUAUCCGGUGAAAAAAUUUUUACAUCCAGCCUUUACAUGUAUUGGGGGUCCCCUUAAACUCUACUUAAAUUUAUAUAUGGGAUUUCAUAGUUCCGAUCUGUCCAAAUUUCGUUCGGAUCGGUUUAGCCGUUUUGGUGAAAAAUGCGUGUGACAGACAGGCAGACAGUGAAUCAACCUUAAAAAGGGGUUAUUUUUUUUAAAUCUGCCCCACAAUUUUUAUAUAUAAUAUUAUUUAUUUGUUUUUACUUUUUCAGUUGGGGUUAUUUUGGACCCACGACACUAAUUACGUAGCUAAAAAUAUUGACAUCAGUUAAGGGGUAAUUAUAAGCAAACUACAGUUGCAAUAAAUACAAAUGCACUCCUAAGAGGGAUGACACCAAGCAUUUAAAAAUACUGUACUUAUAUAAUGUUACGAGAUUUCGUAAUGACAUAGGGCGACUACUUUCUGGGCGGUAGACUCUGAGCAUAUACCCAAGAUGAUCACUCGAUUCUACGCUCAUAAAAUUUAAGGGACUGUGGCGCAGCAGGGUUAACAGCAUUCGAAAUUUAUUUCGAAUGUUGUUAAUGCGAGCGGAUAGAUGACGCCGCCGGCACUCUCCGUGGCUUAUUCGAACUCGCCACGAGAGGGGAAAACCAGCGGUGAAAAAAGUUCCGUUGAUUGGCGGCGGAUUGGCGGUCUCUUCUGCUCCAACUGUCAUAGAAAGUGCACGCUGUUUUGACUAGUGAAUAAAAAUAAGUAUAAUAGUAAAGCUUGAGUUUCCAUGUUUGGAUUUUUUUCGUGCUUUCCUAGUGGUAGAGUUUGUGCGUAGAUAGUAUCGAUAUGCAUAAAUCAUUUUAACCAAGCAUUUACAAGUAUAUGCGAGUGCGAUAGUGUCGUUCUGGGUGAUCUGCAAAUCGUUCAAAGCAAAGCCCCAUUAGAGUUGAUUUCGACAAUUUGUACUUCCGCAUUACUCAUCGUUGAACCCUUGAAACUCUUAGAAGGAAGUUGACCAAAUUGUUAUUUACGAUUGUGAAAAUGGGACUCAGUUGUGAACAGCGAAUUCAAAGAAAUACGAUGUUGACUUGAUACAUUUCACGCACGGCAACAACACAGCAAUUCAUAGUCAGACAAAAGUGCAACUGGAGUGAAUUAUUUGGCUUGUAUCGAAAUCACAGCCGCGGGUGUUCCAUGCAGAUAGACCAGCUAGUGUUCGUGCAACGUUGUAACAAGCAAUUCCCCGUGUAAAUGCGGCAGUCGUAAUUCCAUUGUCAAUUAGAGAAAUCACAGUUUGAUUAAAGGACCAGGAAUAUCCUUAUGAAAUUUCUGCAGUGUAUUCUGGGAUAGCUAAACAAACGAUCUGUGCAAUAAAAAAGGUUGUUGGGAAAACCUCCUGAUGUGGAUUCUCUCCAUAGGAGUGGUCAAAAGGUAAUAGCUGCAUGGGCACCUGUCAUCUUAAUUAGCACACCCUGUUGAUUAUGAACAUUUUGGCGAGUGUGAAAGUUUUAAAGUUCUACGGUGGAUGGAAGGUGAAUGAUGUGGAACAUCUAUAAGUGGAAAAAUAUUAAAAAAGUUGGUAAAAAGUGAAAACGCGAUUAAACACAACUAGGAAAAGAAAAGUUUUUUCCAAUUGAAGGCGUUGUUGACCACCACAGAAACCGAAUACUCUCUAGUUAUUCGACAAUCAUUGUACGACUCUUUGUGCAACAAGGGUUCAUGAGUGAGGCCAUUUCCACUGACUGGCCACUGCAACCACUGUGCAACAUUUUUGAGCCGUCAUCGAGUAGGGGUGAAAGCAGAUCCCGAAGAAUGUAUGCGAAAAAUUUAUGGUCUCUAUAUAACGAUGGUGUUUUGUGGUAAUUUCACAAAAAGGACAUCCAAUCAAAUAUCAAGUGUAUUGAGAGCUUGAUGCAGCUUUAUUUUUAUUGAGAAUAUUUUGAAGCAUAUAUUCCCUGAAUUAAAAGUAAUUUUAUUUUCUAAAAUGAAGUCUGAGUAUCAACCAGAAAUGUGCAAAUUUUCAACAAAAUCAAUAAAUAUUUGCUAUAUGUA
rnacentral:lncRNA from 1 species